GUAGGUGGCAAGCGUUGUCCGGAAUUAUUGGGCGUAAAGCGCGCGCAGGCGGUUCUUUAAGUCUGAUGUGAAAGCCCACGGGCUCAACCGUGGAGGGUCAUUGGAAACUGGAGAACUUGAGUACAGAAGAGGAAAGCGGAAUUCCACGUGUAGCGGUGAAAUGCGUAGAGAUGUGGAGGAACACCAGUGGCGAAGGCGGCUUUCUGGUCUGUAACUGACGCUGAGGCGCGAAAGCGUGGGGAGCAAACAGGAUUAGUUACCCUGGUAGUCCACGCCGUAAACGAUGAGUGCUAAGUGUUAGGGGGUUUCCGCCCCUUAGUGCUGCAGCUAACGCAUUAAGCACUCCGCCUGGGGAGUACGGCCGCAAAGGCUG
rnacentral:rRNA from 1 species